rnacentral:piRNA from 1 species
UGUCCAACAAGUCAAAUCAGAGGCCACAGG